GUACGCUGGCGGCACGCCUAACACAUGCAAGUCGCAACGCAGUAGCAAUACUGAGUGGCGAACGGGUGAGUAUAAUGUGGGUAUCUGCCUUUUGGUUUGGAAUAACACGAGGAAACUUGUGCUAAUACCGGAUAAGCCUUCACAGGGAAAGUUUUAACGCCAAAAGAUGAGCCCGCACUCGAUUAGCUAGUUGGUAAGGUAAUAGCUUACCAAGGCUACGAUCAAUAGCUGAUCUGAGAGGAUGAUCAGCCACAUUGGGACUGAGACACGGCCCAAACUCCUACGGGAGGCAGCAGUGGGGAAUCUUGCACAAUGGGGGAAACCCUGAUGCAGCGAUGCCGCGUGAGUGAAGAAGGCCUUUGGGUUGUAAAGCUCUUUCGUCGGGGAAGAAAAUGACUGUACCCGAAUAAGAAGGUCCGGCUAACUUCGUGCCAGCAGCCGCGGUAAUACGAAGGGACCUAGCGUAGUUCGGAAUUACUGGGCUUAAAGAGCUCGUAGGUGGUUAGAAAAGUUAGUGGUGAAAUCCCAAGGCUCAACCUUGGAACUGCCACUAAAACUUUUUAACUAGAGUAUGAUAGAGGAAAGUGGAAUUUCUAGUGUAGAGGUGAAAUUCGUAGAUAUUAGAAAGAACACCGAUUGCGAAGGCAGCUUUCUGGAUCAUUACUGACACUGGAGGAGCGAAAGCAUGGGUAGCGAAGAGGAUUAGAUACCCUCGUAGUCCAUGCCGUAAACGAUGUGUGCUAGACGUUGGAAACUUAGUUUUCAGUGUCGCAGCAAAAGCGUUAAGCACACCGCCUGGGGGAGUACGACCGCAAGGUUAAAACUCAAAUGAAUUGACGGGGACCCGCACA
rnacentral:rRNA from 1 species